CUCCUCUCCCCUCCUCUCCCUCCACAGUCAACACGGCAAAAAUAGAGAGUUUACAGAGCAAGCUCUCUCCUCUCUCCUGACUGGUUCACUCGCCUCAUCUAACUAACGCAUCCUUGGGGAAACACACUUUUAAGCACACACACACACACACACACGUUGAAGCUCCGCUCAGCAGCAGCAGGGAGUGAACAGCCAGCUCUCGGUUUAUCCCCGCCAUUCCCCGGUACAGUAACUUCCUCAGCAUCUCCCGGCCUCUGCAGAGAGAGAGAGAGAGAGAGAGAGAGAGAGAGAGAGACCACCGCCCGACAACCCAACUGGAAACCGGCCCCGCCGCUCUAUAGUAACGGACUGACCGACCGAAUAUAAACCCGGAGAAGGGAAGAGGUCUAUCUAGUGCUCAACAUCCCGUUAUCGCCGGUAGAAUAUACUUCAGACUGCGGAUUUAAGCCGUCACAUUGGCCAGUUGUCCAUUUGGACGGAGAGAGAGAGAGAGAACCGGUAGUGCGCAGUGUGAGAACACAACAGAAACCACUUGACGCCGAAAAAGUCCCGGGCACUUUCCCCCCGGUAUUUUAGGAAACAGAAGGGACGCGUCUCACUUUACCGAAAUACCGACGCCGGUUAGCCUAAAACGGAGCCGGUGUGAGCAACAGCUACCACCGGAAGAAAAAAGAAAAAAAAAUCAGUGAGGUAAGCGGUGUUGCCAGGGUAACCUCCCCCAGCCAAUCAGCAGUCAUGGAUGAGAUGGAUCUACCCCAGAUGAAGAAGGAAGUGGAGAGCCUGAAAUACCAACUGGCCUUCAAGAGAGAGAAGUCUUCCAAGACAGUCACUGACAUGGUGAAGUGGAUCGAGGACGGCGUACCCGAGGACCCCUUCCUGAACCCUGAACUCAUGAAGAACAACCCCUGGGUGGAAAAGGGAAAGUGUGUCCUGUUGUAGACUGAUUACCGACCCCUGACCCUGCCGUGACCUCUGACCCCAGCCUGAUGGGGCAUGGCAGGACAGCACCCCCCCCCUGCUAGUUUCAGCCACGUUGAUGCAUCACAGAUUACCUUUAAUUCUAUGUUGAUAUGAUAUGAAGUGUAUUUAUGCAGCCAGUCACUCACUCACUCAGUCAGCCAGUCACUCACUCACUCAGUCAGCCAGUCACUCACUCAGUCACUCACUCACUCACUCACUCAGUCAGCCAGUCACUCACUCAGUCACUCACUCAGUCAUCCAGUCACUCACUCAGUCAGCCAGUCAGCCAGUCACUCAGUCAUCCAGUCACUCACUCACUCAGCCAGUCAGUUAUUCAGCCAGCCAGUCAGUUAGUCAGUCAGCCAGUCAGUCAGUCAGCCAGUCAGUUAGUCAGCCAGUCAGUCAGCCAGCCAGCUAGUCAGCCAGCCAGUCAGUCAGCCAGUCAGCCAGCCAGUCAGUCAGCCAGUCAGCCAGUCAGCCAGUCAGUCAGUCAGUCAGCCAGUCAGUCAGCCAGUCAGUCAGCCAGCCAGUCAGUCAGCCAGUCAGUCAGCCAGUCAGUCAGUCAGCCAGUCAGUCAGUCAGCCAGUCAGUCAGCCAGUCAGUCAGUCAGCCAGUCAGUCAGCCAGUCAGUCAGCCAGUCAGUCAGCCAGCCAGUCAGCGCAACACGGACGGGAACGGACACGGAAACACACACACACAGCACACACACACACACACACACACACACACACACACACACACACACACACACACACACACACACACACACACACACACACACACUGUACAGACGAGCCCCUUUAACUUGUUAUUAAAUUAUUGAUUGUGUUUUUUUUGUUUUAUUUAUGUAUUUAUUGAUAAGCUCCUCCGCACGGCGGCCAUGUUGUGUUGUCUAUCGCCCCACGCUCCCAACAACAACAACUGUACUGGCCAGGGAUAUACCAUACACCAUCGCUCUGGCCCCAACGUACGUGUGUGUGUGUGUGUGUGUGUGUGUGUGUGUGUGUGUGUGUGUGUGUGUGUGUGUGUGUGUGUGUGUGUGUGUGUGUGUGUGUGUGUGUGUGUGUGUGUGUGUGUGUGUGUGUGUGUGUGUGUGUGUGUGUGUGUGUGUGUGUGUGUGUGUGUGUGUCUGUGUGUGUCUGUGUGUGUGUGUGUGUGUGUGUCUGUGUCUGUGUCUGUGUGUGUGUUAGCGUGUGUGUGUGUGUGUGUGUGUGUGUGUGUGUGUGUGUGUGUGUGUGUGUGUGUGUGUGUGUGUGUGUGUGUGUGUGUGUGUGUGUGUGUGUGUGUGUCUGUGUGUCUGUGUGUGUCUGUGUGUGUGUGUGUGUGUGUGUGUGUGUGUGUCUGUGUCUGUGUCUGUGUGUGUGUUAGCGUGUGUGUGUGUGUGUGUGUGUGUGUGUGUGUGUGUGUGUGUGUGUGUGUGUGUGUGUGUGUUAGCGUGUGUGUGUGUGUGUGUGUGUGUGCAGUGCUUAAUUUGAUCCCGUCACCUCUCCGUUUUGAACCGUUUUGUUUCCGGAAUCUAUUUGAUUGGAUCCAGAACCUCUCGUGACAUGAAAAAUAAUUUCCACUUCUUUGCAAUAAAAAAAUAAUAAUAAUAAUUAAAAGUUGUCUCUUCAUUACCUCUCCUGCCCCUAAAGAAAACCGUAAUGUGAAAAAGCUGAUUUUCAGUCCGCGGUUUAAUAUUCUCCGAGUUGAUUUGGGUUGAGACCGGACCAGGUUCUUACGUAACAUUUUAUAAUCUAUAUUUGAGACCGACGCGCGACGGUAAGUUAGAAGUGUAGAAAUGCGUCAUACUAGAACUAGAUUCUCUUCUCUAUGAAUCUAUGCUGUAAGCUGCCCCCCCCCCCCCCCCCCAAAAAAAAUUAUUGAAUCAACUUCUAAAUAUUGUUCUACAAAACAAAACAAAAAAUAGAGAGUCAGAGAUGGAGAUAAGGCUUAUGGAAGGAGCGCGGUCGUCGACAAUCACCAGCGAGUCACUUGUGUUUCAGUGAAACUGGAAAGCAUUUUGUGUUUUUGGUGGCGAUAAUUUCCUCGUAUUGUAGCCUAUAAUAUGUGUCUCCACACACCGAGGCCUCAGGUUAUUGAUGAAUUCAAAACAAGGCCGUUUUUUAAAAUAUAUUGAUCUCUAAUUCUCUAGUUUUGUCAGUGUCAAAGUAGACUGUCGUUUUUUUGAUCAUUUGGUAUUAAAGAAUAUUCUGACCAAAGUCUCCAGUCGUGUAAAAAAACGACGUAGAAUCGCAUUUAAUGCGUUUUUAAAGGGACAACAUUUCCCCCCGGACCCUAGGAUACUGAAAAUGUUCCCCGGACCCUAGGAUACUGAAAAUGUUCCCCGGACCCUAGGAUACUGAAAAUGUUCCCCGGACCCUAGGAUACUGAAAAUGUUCCCCGGACCCUAGGAUACUGAAAAUGUUCCCCGGACCCUAGGCUUCUGAAAAUGUCCCCCUGGACCCUAGACUACUGAAAAUGUUCCCUGGACCCUAGGAUACUGAAAAUGUUCCCAGGACCCUAGACUACUGAAAAUGUUCCCCGGACCCUAGGCUACUGAAAAUGUUCCCUGGACCCUAGGAUACUGAAAAUGUUCCCCGGACCCUAGGAUACUGAAAAUGUUCCCCGGACCCUAGGAUACUGAAAAUGUUCCCCGGACCCUAGGCUUCUGAAAAUGUCCCCCUGGACCCUAGACUACUGAAAAUGUUCCCUGGACCCUAGGAUACUGAAAAUGUUCCCAGGACCCUAGACUACUGAAAAUGUUCCCCGGACCCUAGGCUACUGAAAAUGUUCCCCGGACCCUAGACUACUGAAAAUGUUCCCAGGACCCUAGGCUACUGAAAAUGUCCCCAGACCCUAGGGUACUGAAAAUGUUCCCUGGACCCUAGGCUACUGAAAAUGUUCCCCGAACCCUAGGCUACUGAAAAUGUUACCCGAACCCUAGGCUACUGAAAACGUUCCUCAUGUGUGCACCUUGUGUAGGUGCCUCUACUAUACGAUUUGAUUUGAUUUGAUAUACUGCUCUAUGCCGCUACGCUAAUGUGAGGAUAUGAAUGCUUUAUUAUAAAAUUAGAAUUUUCUUUUUUUCACCUCCCGAUUUACAAAUUAAGCACUGUGUGUGUGUGUGUGUGUGUGUGUGUGUGUGUGUGUGUGUGUGUGUGUUGUGUGUUGUGUGUUGUGUGUUGUGUGUUUUGUGUGUGUGUGUGUGUGUGUGUGUGUGUGUUAGUAUGGAUGAAAGGUAGAUGGUCCUUGAAGAUCUUUAGUGUUUAGGAACAACUUCAUGCUAUGAAAAAAAGGGUGAAAGGUUUGGGCGGAAUAGAAGCAUCGGUCGUCUAUUAUUUACGUUACUAUGACAACGGUGGACCGGACCGGGUCUGUCUAUGUACCCAUUUGUUUGAAUUACCACAGCUAGAACCCGUGGAACCGUCUAGACGUGCCACAGCUAGAACCCGUGGGAACCGUCUAGACGUGCCACAGCUAGAACCUGUGGGAACCGUCUAGACGUGCCACAGCUAGAACCCGUGGAACCUCUGAGACGUGCCGCAGAUAGAACCCGUAGAACAGUCUAGACGUGCCGCAGAUAGAACCCG
rnacentral:lncRNA from 1 species